CCGCUCCGCCCCGCCCCUCCACGCCUCCAGCCCUCUGUGCUCCUGGGGCUGGGAGGGCUUGGCUGCCAGGUCCCCGCUCCCCCCUCCCUCCAGAGGGCCGUGGGUCAGCGCUGGAGGCCAGCACCUCCGCGGUGGGGGAGGAAAGGGCAGGUGUCUCACGUCCUUUGAACUGUUAAGGUUGACCUCAGGGUGUUUGGAAACUUGACUUUAGUUUCCUAAAUCUGUACCUGCGCACAGAUCUUUAUUUUCAGAAAAGAAAUGGACAUAAAGGAAAGAGAACGUGUGUAGGAGAGACUCAGUCUGUCUGUGUUGGGCGGAAAGAACCCAGGACCCACAGGGACCUGGGUCAGGUCCAGCGCCGUUACUGGCCGGCCGUGACCCUGACCCAGACCCGAGCAGGACUCAGAGGGCGAGGUCCGUGGAUUUGGAUGAAACCUGACCAAAUGGCCAGAAAAGCUGCUGUUUUUACUGUAACCAAGGCAACAGGAAACCACGGGCUCACAAGACAAGUGGAUCAGCCCAGGAAUGCCAAACGCCUCCUGAGGGGCAGGCCUCUCCCAGCUGUGGCUGCUGCUCCUCCUGGUGCAGGAGGGUGCUUGGGCUGGGACGUUGUUUCUGAAAGCAUCUGAGAGCCUGCGGGCACCAAAGGUGGUGAGUCAGCAGGUGCAGCAGCAGAAUAAACAGAACCAGGUUUGGCUCACUCAGGGGAGCCCCCCCGGCCCCCCACCACCGACGAUCAAACAGCAGCAGGUUUGUGCCACGGGGGCCUUGAGACCUUAGUCCCUGUAAGGCCAAACCCCAUAGUCAGGGAUGAAGUACAAGCAGCCCAGUCUCCUGAGAUCCAAACUAGCCACCUCCACUCAUUGGAGCUCAUGGGAAAGAUGGCUGUGGUCCUUCAGGUCAAGGAAAGGAGAUGUAGAUACGGGUGGGCAAGCACAGCUUUACAGUUGUUCAUGUGGAAAAGAUUACAAUGAAAUCGUAGCGCAAGAACAGGCUGUAGUGCACUCACAACUGUAAAAAGGCAUGUUUGUUCAAUUCUCUGUGUCGGGGCUAUAUUUUCCACAUAUCUCCACAGUGGGAGACACCAUUGUAGCCCAUACUAGUUAAUGGAAGAUCAGCAUUUUCUUCAGCCUCCUAAACCUGUUUUAAUGCAAGCCUAUUUCCUCUUACUGAUUUCCAUAAAGUUUUGGGAAAACAGAUCAAUAUCUCUUUAUAAACACCAUCUUCAUAACAACGA